rnacentral:rRNA from 1 species
CCUACGGGAGGCAGCAGUCGAGAAUCAUUCACAAUGGGGGAAACCCUGAUGGUGCGACGCCGCGUGGGGGAAUGAAGGUCUUCGGAUUGUAAACCCCUGUCAUGUGGGAGCAAAUGAAAAAGAUAGUACAACAAGAGGAAGAGACGGCUAACUCUGUGCCAGCAGCCGCGGUAAUACAGAGGUCUCAAGCGUUGUUCGGAAUCACUGGGCGUAAAGCGUGCGUAUGCUGUUUCGUAAGUCGUGUGUGAAAGGCGCGGGCUCAACCCGCGGACGGCACAAGAUACUGCGAGACUAGAGUAAUGGAGGGGGAACCGGAAUUCUCGGUGUAGCAGUGAAAUGCGUAGAUAUCGAGGGGAACACUCGUGGCGAAGGCGGGUUCCUGGACAUUAACUGACGCUGAGGCACGAAGGCCAGGGGAGCGAAAGGGAUUAGAUACCCCGGUAGUC